AUGCAAAAACAGUGUGAUUUUAUAUAUGUAUGUAUGUAUGUAUAUUUUAAUAUUUUAUUGAAACCAUUGAUGUCCCUCUUUGCAGAACUCAAACUAACUGGAGUUAAGGACACACAAGUCUGCUUGUGUGAGGAGGUGGUUUUCUCAGCUUCUUCUGAAGAGAGGGAAAGAUCGUUUAAGAUGUUAAAAGCAAGAGACAUGGGAGAUCAUCAUUCCCUUGAGAUUUUAUAAAUCAAACCAAGUUUGGAGUUGUCUUGUCUGAUUUGGAGAGUCAUUAUUCUUGGUCUUCGCUCUUAGAGGUAAAGUUCACACAAAAAAUCAUUUACUUGCCCUCAAGUCAUUCCAAACCUAUAAGACUUUUGUCUGUCUUUACAACAUAAAUUAAUAUAUUUUUAGUUUUCUCAUAAUAUUUGUUAAUCCAUUUAUAGUUUAGAUAAUCAGUAUUUUCAAGCUUCAUAAAUAUAGAGUUCUUGUAGAAGUAAAUUCUGAUAUUUAUAUAUGAAUACAUCUUAAAUUAUAUGAUAGCAAACAUGUAUGUUCAAAAUAAAAUAUUGGUCUCCCAGACCAGCAAUGGAGGACACAAAAAGAGAAUAUUAAAUAUAUUCAUACGUUUUCCAAAAAAUUAGCAGAUUUUGUAUGAGUCUGGAAAAACAUGAGGAGAGUAAAUUAUAAACAUUUUAAUUAUUUGGUGAACUAACGGUUUGAAGAGCAGCCCUCCAUGUACGUGAAUAUUGUGAGGUAUGUGAAUGUCAUGUCUGUUUUAAUGUUUCAGUAAAGAAGCUUUCUGAAAGCAAUAUUUAUUCAAACAAUAUCACCUGUCCUCACACUAGUGCUGCCAUUAUAGCAUCCUGGAGCGCUGUGGUGGACUGAGACAUUAAACAACCACACAAAGUGUUGAAACUUUAAAACCGAUUAUUUACCUAUCCUUACGGAUGUGAAUACACCUCUACCUGAAAAUGGAUAGUUUAAUUAAAUGUUUAAUUUUUUCAAAUGUGUUUCUCUUAGGCCACUGAUGAAGAGCAGGCGGUGACUGGGAUGAAUGCUGGUCAGAGAGGAGAAUCUUCUUUCCCCUAAACUGAUGCAGUAGUGGUUUUAAAGGAGGACGCUGCCCUGGAUGAUGUAGAAGAUGUCACAUGCUGUGCUGAUAGGGUUUCUUCAUGAUUACAUCAGUUAUGCUAAAGAGAUCAUGAAAAUUGACCGUGAUGCAUGAUCUGUAUUCAUGGACAAUGAAACAAACUGUAAGUGUAUAAUUUGUUAAAAAAAAAAAGUUAAAUGCUUUUUCUGUGUUGUUUAGUAGAAAAGUUUACACUGUCAUUCAUACACCUGCUCACAUUCUUACACACACACACACACACACACACACGCGUCUGUUAAAGGUUAUAAUAUCAAAGUUAAUGUUGUGAUUUAUUUGUGUACUGUCAUGCCAGAAUAGUUGGAAAAAAAACUAACUAAUUGUAAAUUUAUUGUAUGUGUUUUCGUAUAUUUUUAUACAAUAUAUAUACAAUUGAACAAAGUCCAAUUUGAUCUUGUUAUAUUCAUCAAAUGUUCAAUGCUUUGUUUAUGAACUCUGUAGCUGUUAAUGCCAUCCUUUUCUGCAUUUCUUCUAACAUGUUACUUUUUGACUUUUCUCUUGUUUUUAAUAAAUAUUUUCCUUUUGGUAAUUAUUAUUUGUGUGUAAAAGUGAUAUUUAAAAUGAACAACAUUUGUAGGUUUAAAGCCUAGCUCAAUUUGGGUUAAUUUUAACGUAGAAAUGCAUUGUUUCCCCACAUGGCUGCACUCUGCGAGUUUAUUU
rnacentral:lncRNA from 1 species